rnacentral:rRNA from 1 species
AUUGAACGCUGGCGGCAGGCCUAACACAUGCAAGUCGAACGAGUGGCGGACGGGUGAGUAAUGUCCGGGAAACUGCCUGAUGGAGGGGGAUAACUACUGGAAACGGUAGCUAAUACCGCAUACCAUCGGAUGUGCCCAGAUGGGAUUAGCUAGUAGGUGGGGUAAAGGCGCACCUAGGCGACGAUCCCUAGCUGGUCUGAGAGGAUGACCAGCCACACUGGAACGUAGCCACGGUCCGGACUCCGACGGGAGGCAGCAGUGGGGAAUAUUGUACAAUGGGGUCAAGCCUUAUGCAGCCAUGCCGCGUAAAUGAAGAAGGCCUUCGGGUUGUAAAGUACUUUCGGCGGGGAGGCGUUACCCGCAGAAGAAGCACCGGCUAACUCCGAGCCAGCAGCCGCGGUAAUAC